GACGAACGCUGGCGGCGUGCUUAACACAUGCAAGUCGAGCGGAAAGGCCCUUCGGGGUACUCGAGCGGCGAACGGGUGAGUAACACGUGAGCAACCUGCCCCAGGCUUUGGGAUAACCCCGGGAAACCGGGGCUAAUACCGAAUAUGACCUUGCCUCGCAUGAGGCUUGGUGGAAAGUUUUUCGGCUUGGGAUGGGCUCGCGGCCUAUCAGCUUGUUGGUGGGGUGAUGGCCUACCAAGGCGACGACGGGUAGCCGGCCUGAGAGGGCGACCGGCCACACUGGGACUGAGACACGGCCCAGACUCCUACGGGAGGCAGCAGUGGGGAAUAUUGCACAAUGGGCGGAAGCCUGAUGCAGCGACGCCGCGUGAGGGAUGACGGCCUUCGGGUUGUAAACCUCUUUCAGCAGGGACGAAGCGUAAGUGACGGUACCUGCAGAAGAAGCGCCGGCCAACUACGUGCCAGCAGCCGCGGUAAGACGUAGGGCGCGAGCGUUGUCCGGAUUUAUUGGGCGUAAAGAGCUCGUAGGCGGCUCGUCGCGUCGACUGUGAAACCCGCAGCUCAACUGCGGGCCUGCAGUCGAUACGGGCAGGCUAGAGUUCGGUAGGGGAGACUGGAAUUCCUGGUGUAGCGGUGAAAUGCGCAGAUAUCAGGAGGAACACCGGUGGCGAAGGCGGGUCUCUGGGCCGAUACUGACGCUGAGGAGCGAAAGCGUGGGGAGCGAACA
rnacentral:rRNA from 1 species